rnacentral:rRNA from 1 species
AAAGAGCGUGUAAGGAUUUUUACAAAAAACGCAGGCACUUUUGCCAACUCGUAAGAGGAAGUAUAAGGUGUGACGCCUGCCCGGUGCUCGAAGGUUAAGAGGAUGCGUCAGUCGCAAGAUGAAGCGUUGAAUUGAAGCCCGAGUAAACGGCGGCCGUAACUAUAACGGUCCUAAGGUAGCGAAAUUCCUUGUCGGUUAAAUACCGACCUGCAUGAAUGGCGUAACGAGAUGGGAGCUGUCUCAACCAGAGAUUCAGUGAAAUUGUAGUGGAGGUGAAAAUUCCUCCUACCCGCGGCAAGACGGAAAGACCCCGUGGACCUUUACUACAACUUAGCACUGCUAAUGGGAAUAUCAUGCGCAGGAUAGGUGGGAGGCUUUGAAGUAAGGGCUUUGGCUCUUAUGGAGA